UUCUUACUAGGGUUGUUGCUGUGUAAGUCCCCCUUUCAGGGACCCCCACUCUAGUCUCAGGAGUGGGAGAGCACCCAAAGAAACACGAGAAUCC
rnacentral:pre_miRNA from 7 species